AGAACGAACGCUGGCGGCAGGCUUAACACAUGCAAGUCGAGCGCCCCGCAAGGGGAGCGGCAGACGGGUGAGUAACGCGUGGGAACAUACCCUCCGGUUCGGAAUAGCUCAGGGAAACUUGGAUUAAUACCGGAUACGGCCUAGCGGCGAAAGAUUGAUCGCCGGAGGACCUUGGCCCGCGUCUGAUUAGCUAGUUGGUGGGGUAAUGGCCCACCAAGGCGACGAUCAGUAGCUGGUCUGAGAGGAUGAUCAGCCACAUUGGGACUGAGACACGGCCCAAACUCCUACGGGAGGCAGCAGUGGGGAAUAUGGACAAUGGGCGCAAGCCUGAUCCAGCCAUGCCGCGUGAGUGAUGACGGCCUUAGGGUUGUAAAGCUCUUUCGCUAGGGACGAUAAUGACGGUACCUAGACAAGAACGCCCGGCUAACUUCGUGCCAGCAGCCGC
rnacentral:rRNA from 1 species